CCGGAUCAUGUGUUCUCGUUAUCUCUUCUAGUCCGAUAUUUACGAGACUUCUUCCACCCUCAGAGCUCAAAACACCGUGCUUAAGUAUUGUUUUUCUUGUCAACAUUAGAAAUAUAUCCCCCUCUUUUCGCUUGAAAGAAAACCUAAUGUUAACGGCGCGAGGUUCAAAUUGAAAAUCACGACGACUCGAAAUGGCUACACGUGUUUUGGUCUGUGUCGAACACAAUAAAUUACCCAGAAAAACCGCU